rnacentral:rRNA from 1 species
UACGUAGGGUGCAAGCGUUGUCCGGAAUUAUUGGGCGUAAAGAGCUCGUAGGCGGUCUGUCGCGUCGGCUGUGAAAACUCGGGGCUCAACUCCGAGCUUGCAGUCGAUACGGGCAGGCUAGAGUUCGGCAGGGGAGACUGGAAUUCCUGGUGUAGCGGUGAAAUGCGCAGAUACCAGGAGGAACACCGGUGGCGAAGGCGGGUCUCUGGGCCGAUACUGACGCUGAGGAGCGAAAGCGUGGGGAGCGAACAGG